rnacentral:lncRNA from 1 species
UACAAUCACCACCGCCAUAACAGUCUAGCGGGAGGUUCUGGACUAGAAUCUACUGGAAGGACUAAAUUCAAGCAUAUAACUGGAAGUUUUUAAACUAAUACCAAAUUUUGAACUGGGCUUCUUGACAUUAUUAGAUGAGUGUAAUGAUAAUUGUGACAACUGACAACAAUAAAUCCGUACCAAUUAAAAAUAUCUCAUGCCAGGGGGUGUGGUAUCCCGACCGCCGCUGGCCACAUCACCUUCGUUAG